UACGUAGGGUGCAAGCGUUAAUCGGAAUUACUGGGCGUAAAGCGUGCGCAGGCGGUCCGUUAAGACAGAUGUGAAAUCCCCGGGCUUAACCUGGGAACUGCAUUUGUGACUGGCGGACUCGAGUAUGGCAGAGGGGGGUAGAAUUCCACGUGUAGCAGUGAAAUGCGUAGAGAUGUGGAGGAAUACCGAUGGCGAAGGCAGCCCCCUGGGCCAAUACUGACGCUCAUGCA
rnacentral:rRNA from 1 species